AUGAAGUCAAUAGCUGAUGAGGAAUCUAAGAAGUACCAAUCUCACUUCAGUGAGUACAUCAAGAAGAAUAUUGCGGCCGAUGACAUGGAAGCACUGUACAAGAAGGUUCACGCUACCAUUCGUGCUUAUCCUACCAUGGCAAAAUCAACGAAGGAACCUCCAAAGACGCACAAGAUGCAUGAUGAACUACACGCUAAAGUUCAGCUGAAGUUCCCCUGUUAUCUUCUACUACAAGAGUUCUGUCGAUUUGUACUACUUGGCUGCAAAUGUAUGCCGUUUGCAUCACCAUACGGAUAG
rnacentral:rRNA from 1 species